rnacentral:tRNA from 1 species
GGUUGGCUAGCUCAGUUGGUUAGAGCGUCGAGCUAAUAGCGCAUUGCGUGUCACUCGAAGGUCGUGGGUUCGACCCCCCCGCUGACCA